rnacentral:rRNA from 1 species
GGACCAAGGAGUCUAGCAUGUACGCGAGUCAUUGGGACUAGCGAAACCUAAAGGCGUAAUGAAAGUGAAGGCCGUCUUAGGGCGCGCCGAGGGAGGAUGAGUGAAGCUACGGCUUCGCUCCGCACUCCCGGGGCGUCUCUAGCUCAUUGCGAGCUGAGGCGCACCUAGAGCGUACACGCUGGGACCC